GGCUGGUCCAAUAGCAGUGGGUCAUCAGAACUCAUUAACAUUAGCAUUACUAAAGUUGGUACACAAAACCCCACUGCUAAAUUUAACUGGCUUUAU
ensembl:misc_RNA Y_RNA Y RNA